rnacentral:rRNA from 1 species
GACGAACGCUGGCGGCGUGCUUAACACAUGCAAGUCGAACGGAAAGGCCCUGCUCUUGUGGGGUGCUCGAGUGGCGAACGGGUGAGUAACACGUGAGUAACCUGCCCUUGACUUUGGGAUAACUUCAGGAAACUGGGGCUAAUACCGGAUAGGAGCUCCUGCUGCAUGGUGGGGGUUGGAAAGUUUCGGCGGUUGGGGAUGGACUCGCGGCUUAUCAGCUUGUUGGUGGGGUAGUGGCUUACCAAGGCUUUGACGGGUAGCCGGCCUGAGAGGGUGACCGGCCACAUUGGGACUGAGAUACGGCCCAGACUCCUACGGGAGGCAGCAGUGGGGAAUAUUGCACAAUGGGCGGAAGCCUGAUGCAGCAACGCCGCGUGCGGGAUGACGGCCUUCGGGUUGUAAACCGCUUUCGCCUGUGACGAAGCGUGAGUGACGGUAAUGGGUAAAGAAGCACCGGCUAACUCCGUG